rnacentral:rRNA from 1 species
AUUGAACGCUGGCGGCAGGCCUAACACAUGCAAGUCGAGCGAGCGGCGGACGGGUGAGUAAUGUAUGGGGACUGCCCGAUAGAGGGGGUUAACUACUGGAAACGGUGGCUAAUACCGCAUACUAUCGGAUAACCCAUAUGGGAGUAGCUAGUAGGUGGGGUAUAGGGUCACGUAGGGCCCGAUCUCUAGCUGGUCUGAGAGGAUGAUCGGCAACAGUUGGACGGAGACACGGCCGAGCCUCCUACGGAGGAAGCAGUGGGGAAUAUUGAACAAUUGGCGCAAGCCUGAUGCAGCCAUGCCGCGUGGAUGAAGAAGGCCUUAGGGUUGUAAAGUACUUUCAGCGGAGAGGCGUUACCCGCAGAAGAAGCACCGGCUAACUACGUGCCAGCCGCCGCGGUAAUUC